UCCACAGGCCGUCCUUCUCUCGGAUGUGAUCGGAGCCUGGACAUUACAUCAGAGGGGGACAGAAGGGCGAAACUCUGCACUCAUGAAAGAACAUGUCCUGAGGCUAGACAAGUGGGUGGUCUACUCUCUGGCCGAAUGGGAUCUCCAUCUUUCAGGUGUGUUUGACUGCUACCUGUCGAUGGCGGUGCUGGUGGGCAUGCUGCGGGCAAAGCCCCGGACGCCCGACUGGCGGAAGUAGG